ensembl:snoRNA SNORD116 Small nucleolar RNA SNORD116
GGAUCGAUGAUGACUCCCCAUAAAACAUUCCUUAGAAAAGCUGAACAAAUUGAGUAAAAACUCAGUACCAUCACCUUCAUCGGAACUGAGGUCC